GAUGAACGCUGGCGGCGUGCCUAAUACAUGCAAGUCGAGCGAACAGACGAGGAGCUUGCUCCUCUGACGUUAGCGGCGGACGGGUGAGUAACACGUGGAUAACCUACCUAUAAGACUGGGAUAACUUCGGGAAACCGGAGCUAAUACCGGAUAAUAUAUUGAACCGCAUGGUUCAGUAGUGAAAGACGGUUUUGCUGUCACUUAUAGAUGGAUCCGCGCCGCAUUAGCUAGUUGGUAAGGUAACGGCUUACCAAGGCAACGAUGCGUAGCCGACCUGAGAGGGUGAUCGGCCACACUGGAACUGAGACACGGUCCAGACUCCUACGGGAGGCAGCAGUAGGGAAUCUUCCGCAAUGGGCGAAAGCCUGACGCAGCAACGCCGCGUGAGUGAUGAAGGUCUUCGGAUCGUAAAACUCUGUUAUUAGGGAAGAACAAAUGUGUAAGUAACUAUGCACGUCUUGACGGUACCUAAUCAGAAAGCCACGGCUAACUACGUG
rnacentral:rRNA from 1 species